AGGAACUUACCGGGCCUUGAACUGCAGGAGAACGAUUCAGAGAUGAUGAGGUCCUUCGGGACUCCUGUGGAGGUGCUGCAUGGUUGUCGUCAGCUCGUGCCGUGAGGUGUCGGCUUAAGUGCCAUAACGAGCGCAACCCCUCUCCGUAGUUGCCAUCGGGUAAUGCCGGGCACUCUGCGGACACUGCCACCGUAAGGUGUGAGGAAGGUGGGGAUGACGUCAAAUCAGCACGGCCCUUACGUCCGGGGCCACACACGUGUUACAAUGGCCGUCACAGAGGGGAGCCGGGCGACCGGCUCAUGAUCCUUAAAAACGGUCUCAGUUCGGACUGGGGUCUGCAACCCGACCCCACGAAGCUGGAUUCGCUAGUAAUCGCGCAUCAGCCAUGGCGCGGUGAAUACGUUCCCGGGCCUUGUACACACCGCCCGUG
rnacentral:rRNA from 1 species